GAUACCUGAUUAUUUGACAGUGUUCUCUCCUUUUCACUUUGUUCUUUCUUCAUUUCUUCAUUUCGAAUUAUUACCAUGCUUUGGGGACUUUUUUUAAAAAGAAAUAUAAAAAAAGUUAACACCUUCACUACCUUCACUACCUUCAUUGUCAUUUUGUUUUUUAAUUAGGCAACAAUGCACCUACUCUGUCUCCUGGGACCAGAGUAUUAUCUCCAUCAGUCCCAUGUAAAGUAAAUCUUGGUCAGUUUUCCUCCUUUCCCAUUUUUAUUGCUUUGAACUUUUCUCUAUUACUGCAGUGUCAAAAUUCAUCUCUUUCCAAGGAAAAAAGAUGUGUAUGAAACCUACUUGACUGCUUCAUUUUUUGUGCAACUUGUAUUGAGCAUGAAUAGGAGGUUCCUACUCUUAAAAGGACAAAAAAUGUUUCCUUUUUUUUUUUUUUUCUCUUCUUCAUAUUUAAUAGAUUUCUCUUUAAAUGUUGAAAAUGGAUCAGGAAGAAACAUCCCACCUUGCCAUUCACCAAUGGUUGAAUCUUCCAAUUUGAUACCAUUCUGAACUUUUUGGCAUUCAACUGAUUAUAUUACUUGCUGGUUGCAUUGUUCUGCCUGCUGACCUUAAGUAAUUUCUGCAUAUCUCUCGGCUCCUUUCUCCAACUUGUUGCCUUUUUGCAAGAAGAUGAACGUCUGAAGGAGCUACCUAAGCUCUGUGUCAAAUUUUUUCUUCAUGCUAGUGGAAACAUUGCCACAACAUUUCCUUAUGACCAGGUGCUAGUAGGUGCUGUGCACAAGAUCCCCAAAUCCUCAUGGAAUGCAAAAGAUCCCUUUAUGUUCUUAUGUUUGGUUCAUUGGUUUGGUUGUGUCCUUUACAAGUGCUGGACAUGUUGUGAGAUGGAGCCCAAUCCAGAUGUAAGUGUUGAAACUGCAGGUUAUGGAUGUUCCCUAUAUCUUCUUUGUCAUCAGCAGAAAAAUUUCUUCAUGAAACUUCUGGUGUUAAUGUUGAGGUAGAGAACGUAGAUCCCUUAAUUCACCGAGCUAUUGCUGCUGCGUCUGUUUUUGGGGAUAUUCUAGGUUAUUAGUAUAGCCGAGCGGCUAUACUCUCACUGAGCUGUUAUUUUUCUUACUUCUUUAAAAGAAAUAGUGUGGCCGCGCGGCUAUACUCGAUUUUUCAUAUUUCUUUAACAGACAUAGUAUAGCUGAGCGGCUAUACUCUGUUUACACGUACGUAUU